GAAAUAAUACUUUAUAUAGAAGGCUCGGUUUGCAUCUGAGUAGAAACAGCUGUUUUAUUUCG
rnacentral:tRNA from 1 species